rnacentral:tRNA from 1 species
UGGCUUUUAGCUCAGUAGGUGAGAGCGCCGGCCUUAUAAGCCGUAUGUCGUGGGUUCGAGUCCCACAGAGCCAA